GACAGAGGGUGCAAACGUUGUUCGGAAUUACUGGGCGUAAAGCGUGUGUAGGCGGCUAAGUAAGUCAGAUGUGAAAGCCCCGGGCUCAACCCGGGAAGUGCAUUUGAUACUGCCUAGCUUGAGUAUCGGAGAGGUUGGUGGAAUUCUUGGUGUAGAGGUGAAAUUCGUAGAUAUCAAGAGGAACACCGGUGGCGAAGGCGGCCAACUGGACGAAUACUGACGCUGAGACACGAAAGCGUGGGGAGCAAACAGG
rnacentral:rRNA from 1 species